UUGGGCAAGACACUUGACCCACCUUGCCUCGUGAAUGUGUAUGAAUGUUUGGUGGUGGUCGGAGGGGCCGUUUGGUCGAUAUUGCAGCCACGCAUCCGUCAGUCUGCAGGGCAGCUGUGGCUACAAACGUAGCUACCACCACCGGAUAUCCAGACAGAUGUGAUGAUUGUGUCUCCAUUCGCUCAGAGAAACAGUUUCCUUCCUACACCACAACUGAGGAAGAAACUGCCUCGAUUUGAAAAACUUCACCUUACUGAGGAAUCACGUGCAAAAAACCAUCUAGCACCAUCCUUGACAACCAGUGUUUAUUCUGUAUCAUAGAAAUUCCACAUUUGUUUUAUUGUUUAUUCUAUUUUAUCACCAAAGAGCGAAAUUACCGGAGUCAAAUUCCUUGUUGGACAAUGCCAAUAAAGAUGAUUCCGCUUCUGA